ACAAAAUGUAUUCAAUCCCAAAUGGUUUAAACUCUUAUGGUGACAAUACUAUGAAUCUUCACGAUUCUGUUCCCACCCAAAUGAACUCCAGCUUUGGGGAUCCCGAGACUAAAAUGUUUCGGUCAAUGUUCACUACUUCUGUCAUCACAAACCAUCAUGGUUUGUUCUCUUCCUCUCAUGCUUCUAACUGUUAUCGAGAUUCAUCUUCUUUUGGUUUCAAUAAUUCACAUGCGGCUUAUCAGAUGAGAACCAACAUGGUCUCUGAUGUCGUUGAUUACUUUCCUAUUAACCAUAACCCACAAGUUUCUCAAGUCUCCAUCACCCAAACUAUCACAAGAAGGUACUCUGUUAUAGUUCCUACCCGUAGUUUGAUCACUGCCCAAAAUGAAUACGAACGUGCUAUGAAUCCCAACAUUUCAUAUCCUUCCUUUUACCCUCAAACUUUUGUUGACAAUCAGAGAACCCACCCUCAAACUUUUGUUGACAAUGAGAGAAACAUUUUAAAUCCUACACCUCUCAAUACCAUUUAUCCUAGGAAUGUAGACCAGUUUUCUUUUUCACCAAAUCACCACCAUGAUCAACAUGUUCCUCAUCGUCGACCAGUGAUUAAACGUCGAAAAUUUGAAGAAUUUUUGACGUUUUGAUUUUGAGGAUAAUGGUGUAUACGAUGGUCGGACACAUAGCCUACCGUAUGAAAAGUACGGUCCAUAUACAUGUCCCAAAUGCAAAGACGUGUUUGAUACUUCACAAAAGUUUGCAGCGCAUAUAUCUUCUGUUCACUACAAGAAUGAGACGGUCGAAGAAAAAGCAAAGAGAUACAGCGCGAGGAACAAAAGAAGAUUUCGUAAGAUAGACCAAACGAUGCAUGACGAAUCUCAAAUGAUCCAACCCGAAGAAAGAGUGUAGAAGAAAGCGGAAGCAAUAAUAACAUUGCAAGUGGCAUUGAGGCUUCCAACAACAGCUGGUUGUUAAGGAAGAACCUACUUAUGAUGUUGUUGAUUGAUAUGUUUUCUGUUUGGAGUUUUAUCAUAAUAUAUAUGUAUCUUUUGUUGUUGUUGUUGGAAUUUCAUCAUCCUUGUUGA